CUGACGCUAAUGCUCGAAAGUGCGGGUAUCGAACAGGAUUAGAUACCCUGGUAGUCCGCACGGUAAACGAUGGAUGCCCGCUGUUGGCGAUACAAUGUCAGCGGCCAAGCGAAAGCGUUAAGCAUCCCACCUGGGGAGUACGCCGGCAACGGUGAAACUCAAAGGAAUUGACGGGGGCCCGCACAAGCGGAGGAACAUGUGGUUUAAUUCGAUGAUACGCGAGGAACCUUACCCGGGCUUGAACUGCAGGAGAACGAUCCAGAGAUGGUUUGGUCAGCAAUGACUCCUGUGGAGGUGCUGCAUGGUUGUCGUCAGCUCGUGCCGUGAGGUGUCGGCUUAAGUGCCAUAACGAGCGCAACCCCUGCGUGUAGUUGCCAUCGGGUGAUGCCGGGCACUCUGCGCGGACUGCCACCGUAAGGUGUGAGGAAGGUGGGGAUGACGUCAAAUCAGCACGGCCCUUACGUCCGGGGCUACACACGUGUUACAAUGGGUGGUACAGAGAGUUGGCCGUCUGCAAUGCCGGUCUAAUCAUGAAAGCCAUCCUCAGUUCGGAUUGGGGUCUGCAACCCGACCCCAUGAAGCUGGAUUCGCUAGUAAUCG
rnacentral:rRNA from 1 species